UGUCAGGACAACACAUUUGAACACCUAUCCUAACGGUGUGUGGCUGAAGUGGGUAUAUCUUCAAGUAGUAUUUAACUUUUAGAUGUCAGGGUUAAAAGUCCCUGAAGUUUUGGAAGGAAGAGAUUCUAUUGAAUGCUGGCGGUUGAAACUCUUGGGACGCAAAUGGAUCACAUCAAAUAUCACGCUUUUCAGAAUCAAUACUUCCUAAAGGUUGGUACAGAGGUAGUUUUCACAAAACUUUGUCUGAAAUGAACCUCACUAUGGUUACAACCUGCUACAAAGUAACACUGAUGUAUAUACAGUAACAAAGGACAGAAAAGCGUACAACUUCAUCAUAAUAAGUCCUGAGGUUUGGUUUUGUAAAGAAUUUUGAAUAUAUCGGCCAUUGUAUGCUGUUGUUAUCGAACUUUUCGCGGUAAAAUCCGCCGUUUUGAAAAUGGGUCAAGCUCUAACAAGCACCCUGAGUAUUUCCUAUUUCGUGCGGCGAGUGUGGCAGUGGUUUAGUCGCCUGUCUUACCUUCUUUUCCAACGGAACUCUCUCAAGGUUAAAAAGCCAAUUAUUUCUUCGUGUAUUUCGUUGGUCAAUGAAUAAACUUUUAUUUGCUUUUGUUUCUCUAAUCACUCAGAUUCGACUAGCAUGUGAUGUUACAUACAUUGUAACAAAACUUAACACUAAGUAUAAUCUUGUCAUAGUUUUAAUAGGAUAUCUAAAAGAUGGUAAUGCUGCGGCACAUCCUAUUGAUAGUUUACGCAGUGAUUCAUGACCUUUAUUUCUUAUAGUAGUGUCAAAUGGUGGGGUGUUUCCAAAACUAAGAUUUAAGGGCACCCCUCUUACCUCAAGUGAUAUUCUGUCCGUGCACUGGAUUGCGAGUAUAGUUGUUAUUGUAAGACGAAAUUUUUUUUAUGCAGAGGGUGGGGAGCUUGUAAUUAAUGUUCAAAACUCUGAUUGGUCUAUACCUAUUAGUUUUGAUGGCCAGUUUUCUAAAUGCUUAUGAUGUGUGAAAUGCAUUAUUAGAAUGCACAAACUUCUCUUCUGCUCACUAUCAUUGGUAAUCACGACCAUGGUGCAUGAAAGUUGGUGAGGAUUAUCUUAGCAGUUCAAAGAGUUGGUUGUGAAGAGAAACAAAUGAUGGGAGAAUGUCCAAAAAAAAACCAAUUAAUCAGCUUAGUACAGAAGGCAUUGCUGAAAUGAAUGAAUCGUUGCUAUGUUAACAUCUUAUGUUUUUAAAGCCAGUUAAAGACAUAAUUAAUCAUGGCUUUAUUUGAAAUAGCUAACAUUGAUAUAGUUAAUUGCAUGGUAAUUCUUAGAUAUCAUUUGUAAAAACAACAAUGAGGUAUUUUAAUAAAAAUGGAUAUAAAUAGUUAAAAAA